rnacentral:tRNA from 1 species
GGUUGUGGCUCAGUGGUAGAGCUCUCGCCAGCACAUGUGAGGCCCAGGGUUCAAUCCUCAGGACCA